rfam:Oryza barthii chromosome 2, whole genome shotgun sequence.
AAUAAGUGUAGUUUUAUACUGUUCAUAUCCAACAUUUGAUCGUUUCGUCUUAUUUGAAAUUUUUUUAUGAUUAGUAUUUUUGUUGUUAUUAGAUGAUAAUAAAACAUGAAUAAUACUUUAUGUGUGACUAAUUUUUUUUUAAAAAAAACUUUAUAAAUUUUUUAAAUAAAACGAACAAUCAAACGUUGGACACGGAUAUCCACGGCUGCACUUAUU